GGGGUUGUGGCUCAGCGGUAGAGCACUCGUCUAGCAUGUGCAAGGCCCUGGGUUCAUAAAAAUAAAUAAAUUAAAGAUACUGUGUCCAACUACAACUAAAAAAUAAAUAUUAAAAAAUAAAUAUUAAACAAGAACUUUGGGUUACUUCUCCCAACUUCAUACUCUUUCAUCAGGAAACAGCUUGGAAAUAUUAUCAUCCAUUUAAAAAAAAAAAAAAGAAGAUUCAAGUUCAAGACCAGCCUCA
rnacentral:tRNA from 1 species